rnacentral:lncRNA from 1 species
CUGGGCUCAUUUAAAAGCUAGUCUCCAAAGAGUGGAUAUCUUCUGGAUGAGAGCCUCUUCUUGAGAAGGAGUGUUUUACAGCUGGUGACUCUCUUUGCUACUUGGGAACCGGUGGUCACAGUCCUGAACAUUCAACUAUGACUGUCCUGCCUAUAAUUUGUCCUCUCUAAGCUCCUCCCAAGAUCAAGCCCUGAGCAAAUGAUAAAGCCCAUCAGUCUCUGCGGUGGAUGUACGAAGGUUUAUGCUGCACGAUUCACAUGGAAGAGGAGAGAAGGUAGGAGUGAGAUGGCUACUUCCCACUUUGUACAAGACUUUGAAAAUGUAGCGGACUUAAUUAAAAUCAAACCUGUGGAUCUAUAGGGGAAAAGUCCACCUUUCCUCCUUUAACAAAAGAUAGCGCUCAGCCUGCAAAAUCUUCUCACUUGCACUUCAGGUUUAAGUCCCUUUGUAUGUCACAGAGGAAAUUCUUUUCCUUGAUAAUCUCCUUGCUGGCCCAUAGGUAAUUGAACAGCAGAUCCACACAGUAAACCCUUCAAAGGAAUUACAAGGAUUACACAUCUCAUAUUCACCUUGUUUCACCCUCUGCAGAUGUUGAAUGUGAGCCAUCAGUUUCUUCCUAAUCCAUGUAACUCAGAUACGUGGAGCUUUCUGUCAGAUACCUCACCCGUUUUCCUUCUUUGCCUAGCAACUGUUUCAGAACUGAACUCAACAUUUUAUACAAAAGUUAGCUCAAGAAGCAGACAGGGCUAUUCAAGAGAGAAAUGUGAGAAAUGGCUGUUCAAGAAGAAAGGAGGAAAGUAUA